rnacentral:lncRNA from 1 species
CAUAGUUGUAGAUUUAGUUAUGGACGGUAGGAAUAUUUAAUGCAGAGCCUGGAGAUGUUGAUUUACAGCCUACAGUAGUUUUUAUUACAGUCUAAUUCGGCUUGGCCAGCGCUACUCCAGAAGUCACCUUUAGAUGUCGCCAAAAUAAUUACUCAACCAACACAUUAUAUUUUAAAGUUAGAAUAAAUUCUCUCUCAUUAAACCUGUUACAAUCGGUUUUAUAUAGUUAUUUUAGGUGUUAGAACUGAAGUUGAACAUAAAGCGUCACCUAUAAUUUCAUAACACAAAGCAUUCUAAUCAGAGAGGACAGAACUUCGCUGCUGUCUUGCAAAUUCAUCUGUGAGCAGUAAAGUUACCGGGAAUGAGAGCAGAGGAAGACACGAUGGGAUGCGCUUCUAGCACUCAGACCACAGCUCAAGACACAACACGACCGAACACCAAACAAGAUGGGAGCACAUCAGGAACAAAUAAUGAAAACGGUGGUCCUGCAGCAGACAGCAAGACAGUUCCAGACCAAACCCAGGCCGCGGAAUCUCCACAGACAUCCAGUGGAGCUCCUGUUGCCUCUGAGGAAAUACAGAGCUCUGCGGCUGCUGUAGCUCACAGUGAACCAGAAGCAGCUGCUGCUGAGGCCAUUACAUCUGACCAGCCUGCUGAACCAGAAUCAAACCCCUCCACAACAGCUGACAGUACCGAAGAACCAGCACCAAGCGAAAACACAACUGAGGCCCAGGCUGAAUCUUCCCCACCAGAGGAAGCACCUGCCUCUGGUGAAGACAGUUAA